UGGGAAGUGCUGGGACAAUGAUGAAUGAAACCGCCUCCACCCCUGCCUACCUAGUAUCUAGCAGAGAAGACUAACACCAACCAGGGCCAGCUACGUCCGUCUCUGUGCUCCAAUAGCCAUUGGGUAGUCUCAUCUCGUGGCAUUCAUCAGACUGUAGUGGAUCAAUGACGUCCUUCUUGUCCUCCCUCCCCAGACAGUACACAGUGGUUACCUGUAACUUCAAGGAGCUCAAAACACUCCUCGGAACUUUUCCUGAGC